rnacentral:lncRNA from 1 species
AACAAGAAUAAAACAUUUAAAAACAAGUCUGCAUGACGAUUAUCAAAUAUUGAAGACAAUGAAUUUAAUUUAUAUAUAUAUAUAUAUAUAUAUAUAUUAAUGACCCAGAAUGCUUAAUACAUGAACAGAAGCUCUGUCAUUUAAUAUUUCAGCUCCUCAUGUGUCAUAUCUCUAAAUUUAGAGGCAGUUUUUGUUGUGAUGGAUGUUGUGAUGUUUCAGUGGCCCACGCUGAUCAGGUGAUGAGGUGGGCUGAGGAGUGAGGAAGUUUGGGUGAUGUCUCAACAUCUCAAUCACCAGAUUUCACCCUUAUUAAGAGAGUUUAUAAAGGAUUCUGGAAGCAUCAGCUCUUUUUUUAGUUUAGAUUAAGAGAACUGUGAAGACAGAGGUGCUAGAUUGAAGGUAAAUCACAUUUAUUUAUAUGUACUGAUGUUCCCUAUGUGAUUUUUUUUUAUUUUUUAGGAAAAUCCACUUGUUCAGACCGAGUCAAACCAAUCAAAUCAACCCAGUAGUGGGAUGUUUGGAUGGAUUUUCAGGAACCCGUUCGGCUCCUCAGUUCAGGAGCGGGAAAAAGCAGAGCCGCCUGGAGAUACACACUCAGAAUCCACCCAGAAGACUAGCUCAUGUCCUGAUGGGACGACUGAAGAAGACAGCUCCUUAAAUCAGGUACAGACAGCCCUGAUCCCGUUACAUUUAACAUUAACCUUUACAAAAGAGAACAGACCAGAGAGAGAGAGAGUACAGUAGGUCAUGCUGCUGUUUCUCCAUCAGCAGCCAGAGUCUGAGAGAGAGAGAGAGAGUACAGUAGGUCAUGCUGCUGUUUCUCCACCAGCAGCCAGAGUCUGAGAGAGAGAGAGAGAGAGAGAGAG